rnacentral:lncRNA from 13 species
UCCCAGCACUCUGGGGGGCUGAGGAGGGCAGAUUUCUUGAGUCCAGGAGUUCAAGACUACCCUGGGUAACAUGAGGAAACCAUGUCUCAAAAAAAAAAAAAAUUGUUGAGAGGGAUUGGGAAGGAACAAAGUGGUUACUGGAUUAAAGAGGAAAAGAGGAAGCCAUAGCAGGCACCCAGGGAGAGAGGCCAUGCUUCCCUCCAGGAAUGGGGAGUCCAUGGCAGGCUGAAAUUGUUGAUGGCACAAGGAGAGAGCAGGAAUGGUGUAGGAAAGUAGUCACUUUUCCUCUCUGGCCCCCAGCUCUGUGCUGCUAGUUCUCUCAUUUGAUGAAUUUGCAGGUUCUCCAAGCUAGACCAUGGCUGACUGGGUGUUCCCCAAGCCCACGUCCCUUGCCAAAGGUGAGAUGUGCAGGAGAAAGUUGCCUGGGAUAAGGAGUGGAGAUUCUGGGCCCCACCACAGGGUCUUGCAGAGCCCAGGAGAGCUGAGAUACUGACAGUGAGGAGAGUAAGUAGUGCAGCUCAGUCCAGGCCCAGGACUCCUGUUGCUGACUCUGAGCAAUUCUGGGCUGCAUCUUAAGGCACAAAGAAGAAAGGGGAGAAAGGGAUUGGGUCUGGGGGGCCCUUAUCCAGAAAUUCAAGUCUUUGAAUGGUAGGAAACUCUUCUGGUGUUGGAGCAAAUUGCAGUGUUACUGUAUUAACCAUUAGGUCAUCAGCUGCCCUGGCAGGGCCUUUUCAACAAUGCAGGAUUCCUUCAAAUCCCGAUUCCAUCUCAGCACAAGAUGAAGUCACACGUUCUAAUGCUCAUGAGCAUGGCUCCUUGAUGCCCUUCCAUAUUCUGAAGCUAAUCUAAAGGCUCCAGUUGGUUCUAGGUUUCUGGAAUGUACAACAAUUACAUGACUUCAUCUGGAGAAUUUCACCUGCCACAGUGGAAGGAAGGAUUCCCCCAAUUUAAUCGCAUUUUAAGAUGGACCAAGCAGGAUACUCCUCUAUGGAAGGGAAGAGGAACCACCGGUCCUGACCCACGAAUUGGAAGAUGCUGCCACCUAGAGGAUGUGAGGGAAAAUGAAUCCUCCCCUAGAGUUUCACUUUUUUUGUUGUUUUUGUUGUUGUUGUAAGAUGGAAUCUCGCUGUAUUGCCCAGGCUGGAGUGAGUGCAGUGGCAUGAUCUCGGCUCACUGCAACCUCUGCCUCCCUGGUUCAAGCAAACCUGCCUCAGCCUCUCAAGUAGCUGGGAUAAAAGAGGCCCGCCACCCCUCCCCCUGCUAAUUUUGCAUUUUUAGUAGGCAGGGUUUCAACAUAUUGGCCAGGUUGAUCUUGAACUUCUGACCUCAAGUGAUUCAUAAGCCUUGGCCUCCCAAAUUUCUGGGGUUACAGGUGUGAGCCACCAUGCCCGGCUGACUCCCAGACCUUUACCUCUCCCUAUGAGGCCUUCUCUGCCCUUUAUCUAAAAUUACCAGCUCUCCACCCAUUGUCCCAUCACUUCCUGUUCCCUGUCACCUUACUUUUUCAAACCCCUGGCACUUGUCAUUAUUUAAUAUUCCAUCUAAUUCCCCUUACCUGUGUAAUUUCUCUUGCUGAUGGUCUGAGUUCCUCUUCUGGAAUAGAGGCCCUAGGAAGGUAGAUGUAGGGCCUGAGUUGUCCGGCAACGUAUCUCUAGCCCUAGAGCAGUACCUGACACAUCACAACACUUCAAUACAUAUGUCAAGUGGACAGACAGGAGCCCUAUCCCCGACCCAUAGCCCUGCCCUGUGGGCCUUAACCCAAGCCCUGAGGUUUCAUGGCACCUUCACGCACCUUUGCAAGCUCACUCCCCUCUUCCCUUCUCCCCAUACCUUGUAGGGAGGGCCAAAGGGAGAGUCCAGAACCCCCAGGCACUGUAUAAACUGUUCCAGGGCUGAAAUGGGAAGAGCCGUGGCCAGAGCUCCUGGCCUGUGUCAUAGCCUGUGCUAGUGGCAGGCAGCCUGGAAGGUCUCACUGUGUCAUGAUUAAGCCAGACCAGUCUACCCAGCAGUGAAUUCGAGUUCCACGAGGUAACCAGCUGGGUGGCCUCUCACAACGCACUUUAUCUUGGUGAGGCUCAGUUUUGCCAUCCAUUAAAUGGAGAGAAUGAAGUGUG